AACAACAAAAGGAACAGAAAA
rnacentral:miRNA from 1 species